CAGAGCUCCAUCCAACCUGGCCUAGAACACUUCCAGGAAUGGGGCUUCCACAAUUUCUCAAGGCAACCUGUGCCAGGACCUCACCAUUCCCCCAGGAAAAGAAUUCCUUCCUGACAUCUGAUCUAACCCUACUCUCUGUAAAUUUGUACUCAUUCCUCCUUGUUCUCUCACUACAGUUUCUGAUGAAAAAUCUCUAUCUGGCUUCCUUGUAGGCAUCCAUGGGAGAUAAUGUUGCCUAGCAUAGUUUGGAUCAGUGAAAAGUCUCAUAGAGAUAUUUGCAAUAAUUUCAUUUAAAUGGUACCAGCACUUCAUAAAAGUUCAAGACAUGAGGAAACAAGCUUGAAAGAGAAGAGCCCUGAGCAAUGUGUUAUAAAAGCUUGCGUAUAAAUACCUCCUGUAAUCAAAUAUACUGAGGUUCCUGCAGCACUACAAUGACAGCUCUGCUGUAAAUGAAAGCAGUAAAGCAGUCAUAGGACCUCGUGGGGAAAAGAAAUGAAAAUGGACUAUGCUUUCAGCAGGAAAAGCCUUAGUCAGGAACAGAGUCUAGAGAAAUGCCACAGGCAACAUAUAUUCAAAAUGUCCAGAACUGAGCAUAUUUACAGAGACCUGCCUGCAAGAAGAAAUCAGUGAGUGCUGUUGGCACACACUGUGUGUAAAGGAGCUCACCCUGCAACAACUGAGAGUGGCUGAAAUACUUUCAGUAUUUAGACCAUGACGAUGUACCAGCUCUCCUUAGAGACUGAAAGCAUAAGAAGAUGUUGGUGUCCACUAGAGCAGAUUAGAAUUAUUGUCUGACAUAUUCUUGUUGAAAUCAAUCAGAAGAGGAAAGGCUGAAAGAUUUGGGAUUGUUCAGCCUAGAAGAGAGAAUGCUUUGGGGUGAUCUAAUUGUGACCUUCCAGUACCUGAAGGGAGCCCACAAGAUGGACAAAGAGAGACUAUUUACAAAGGUCUGAAGUGACAGAACAAGGUGGAAUGGCUUCAAAAUGAAAGAGAGUAGGUUUAGAUCAGAUACUGGGAAGAAGAAAUUCUUCCCUGUGAAGAUAGUGAGGCACUGGAACAGGUUUCCUUGAGAAGUUGUGGAUGCCAUAUCCCUGGAAAUGUUUCAGGCCAGACUGGAUGGGGCUCUGAUCAAACUGGUCCCUGCCCAUGGCAGCAAGGUUGUAAUGAGAGAAUUUUUAAGGUCUCUCCCAGCCCAGUCCAUUCUGUGAUUCUAGGAAAUCUCCUCUAGCUGGUCUUACCCACUGCAGAACAGCUACUCCAUGAAGCUGUAGGGAAGGGCUGCUCCAGGAAGGGGAGAGUGCAGUUAAUAGGAGGAAGAGACUUCUGCAGCUGGAGAAAUUGUUAGGUGAUGGACAGGAUCUUUUCUGUCUCCCAAGCCUUAUGAGAUCUUUUGGAAAUACAGAAGAGACUUGAAUGAGCUUGCUUAAACUUUCCCUCAGCUUUAGUUCACACACA